CACACACACACAGCAGUGUGUGUAUGUGUGUAUAUAUGUGUAUGUAUAUAUAUAUAUAUAUAAAUAUAUAUACAUACACAUAUAUAUAUACAUACAUACAUAUAUAUAUGCGGCGUGUGAUUG
rnacentral:miRNA from 1 species